GGCCCAAUCCAAAGCGUAGAGUUUUUGAGAGGCUACCAAACUUCCAGAAUGGAUAAUAUCCAUAUCUGAAAAGACCAAGACCUGGCCACGAAUGGCCCGCGAGGUGCGAGGAGCCUGCGUGUGCCCCUGCUGCUUUCCCUGAUCGCCGUGUUGCCGCUGCUGAUUGCUGAAGCACCUGAUGCGCUUGCGCUGCGCAGCAGGAGCUGUUCACCUUCUGUCCUCAGCAAGGCCAGAACUUCUGAAGCAGUAACGGGCGGGGUGCGUCUGAUCUGCGCGCUGGACGCAGCUAUGGCCACCUCCUCCUCGCCGCUCACCACCACCCACUCAUCUUUCCUCUCUUCCGCGCCAUGCUCGCUCACCACCAUGGCGGCGCUGCCGCGGCGGCGGAGGCCCGGGGCGCGGUACCCUCGUAUCCAGGCCAUCGACUUCGACCAGAACACGAUUGUGGCUAUAACGGUCGGGGUUGCCAGCGUCGCCGCCGGGAUAGGUAUCCCGAUUUUCUACGAGAACCAAAUCGACAAUUCCGCAAAGAGGGACAACACGCAGCCGUGCUUCCCCUGCAGCGGCUCUGGCGCGCAGGUAUGCAGGUUUUGCACCGGAGCUGGCACUGUUACCGUAGUAAUUGGCAGUGGUGAAUCUGAAGUAUCGAAGUGUGUCAACUGUGAUGGCAUUGGCUCGUUGACAUGCACCACGUGCCAAGGUAGUGGCAUUCAGCCACGUUAUCUUGAUCGCAGGGAGUUCAAGGAUGAUGACGAUUGAAGGUUUUGUCAUUACUGGCUAACGGCGAUAUGGGGUGCUCAUUAUGCUACCAGAGCCAGGAAUGAGCUCGAGUCCUACUCCUAAGUCCUAACUAAAACAAUAGCUUAAGCUUUUGAGUCAACUGAUCGGUGGAUGUAACUCAAUUAUGACAAAACAGGGUAAAUUAUCAAAAUGCGAUGUGAAGUGGAGCAUAUGAUCAAAUAUGCCCAAAGUAACGUACUCUGUAUGUAUGGAAUAUUGGAACGGAACCAUAGCGAGGCCAUCCCUCCCAGCCUCAGCGGCUCAGCCUGACAACAGUGUUGAGGUAAGACUGUCAGAGUCAAAUCAUCUCUCAGUCUGAAGCUUACCCGUACUGGAAUAUGGUCAUCUUCUGAACAGGAAAUAAACACGGCGGAGAGUUUAACCGCGCGCUAUAUAACAACAGUAUGAAAAAUGAACACGGUGAUACACAAAAAGCGCGGGAGACUGAUUCGGAAACAGCAAUGUUCUAGUGUGUUUUGAAUUACCGCUAGGAGGCUUCUGGCAGGCUCAGUAGAUUCUCUUUGCACAUCGCUUAAACUUACCGGAGCCCAAAAGCUUGUACGCAAGGUUGCCAGGCACUUGGAAGUGUGUCUUCGGAGGACCAAGGUUUACUUCCAAGUGAAAUCUGCCGAUGAUUGACACAAAAAUCUGACGAUGAUUUGCGUCACA